AUUUUUAAAGAUAUGUAGGUGGGCAGAGGUGGUAAAGACUCUUGAUGGGAUUUUCAGAAUCACAUUAGCGUCUAAUUCCUAUUCAAAAUCUGACUCCAUAGCUUGUCUGAACUGGAUUCAGCCCGUGCUAUGUUUUAUUCAGCUGCUCCGUAGGACAGAACGGGAGGUGUGCAUACGGCGAGCGUGACUUAGGGGGAAUAAAUCGAGGUGUGCCUUGGCCCCUGCUGAGCUGUGCAGCUGAGCUCCCUUUUAUCCUUUCUCUAAUUCCAUAAUUUCCACCCUCCUUUCUGCAGAAUGCCAGAGAUUCAACGGAGGAGAGGAAAAGUGACUCCGUUUUGCCCAACCUAACAGUGAUAUAUUUGGUUUUACUAAGCCUGUGUCUGCAGAGAUGCCAGAUAAAACACCAGGUGCUACAGAGCCUGUGCCCAGAAGUGAAGAUGACUUCCACUUACCUCUUGAUGUUGUACCAGCUGUGACAGAGGCCCUUGACUCCAAGAAGGAGGAAGAUUUGCACAAGGAGAGCAGAUCUUUCCACUACUGUGAAAAAAGGACCAUGGACCUGUCAGACAGUGACCGUCCUGUCAGCUUCAGUUCCACUUCCUCCUCUGCAUCCUCCAGGGACAGCCACUGCUCCUUUGGAAGCAGAAUGACCUUGGUUUCAAACAGCCACUUGGGUUUGUUUAACCAGGAUAAAGAAACAGGUGCCAUCAAGCUAGAACUGGUCCCAGCCAGGCGAUUUUCCAGUAACAAGACGCGCAAAAACUCUGCUGUGGAGCAAGAGGAUCCUGAGGAAAGCCUUGAGAAAAGGCCAAGCAUGCCAAGGAAAG
rnacentral:lncRNA from 12 species